rnacentral:rRNA from 1 species
GAUGAACGCUGGCGGCGUGCCUAAUACAUGCAAGUCGAGCGAACAGAUGAGGAGCUUGCUCCUCUGACGUUAGCGGCGGACGGGUGAGUAACACGUGGAUAACCUACCUAUAAGACUGGGAUAACUUCGGGAAACCGGAGCUAAUACCGGAUAAUAUAUUGAACCGCAUGGUUCAAUAGUGAAAGACGGUUUUGCUGUCACUUAUAGAUGGAUCCGCGCCGCAUUAGCUAGUUGGUAAGGUAACGGCUUACCAAGGCAACGAUGCGUAGCCGACCUGAGAGGGUGAUCGGCCACACUGGAACUGAGACACGGUCCAGACUCCUACGGGAGGCAGCUGUAGGGAAUCUUCCGCAAUGGGCGAAAGCCUGACGGAGCAACGCCGCGUGAGUGAUGAAGGUCUUCGGAUCGUAAAACUCUGUUAUUAGGGAAGAACAAAUGUGUAAGUAACUAUGCACGUCUUGACGGUACCUAAUCAGAAAGCCACGGCUAACUACGUG